rnacentral:rRNA from 1 species
CGUGUAGGCGGUGCGGUAAGUUGGGCGUGAAAUCCCCGAGCUUAACUCGGGUGGGCCGUUCAAGACUGCCGUGCUAGGGUGCGGGAGAGGGAAGUGGAAUUUCCGGUGUAGCGGUGAAAUGCGUAGAUAUCGGGAGGAACACCUGCGGCGAAGGCGGCUUCCUGGACCGUAACCAACGCUGAGGCGCGAAAGCUAGGGGAGCAAACAGGAUUAGAUACCCUGGUAGUCCUAGCCCUAAACGAUGAGCACUGGGUGUGGCCCCUCACGAGGCCGUGCCGAAGCUAACGCAUUAAGUGCUCCGCCUGGGGAGUACGGUCGCAAGGCUGAA